GACAGAGGGGGCAAGCGUUGCUCGGAAUUACUGGGCGUAAAGGGCGCGUAGGCGGGAUGGCAAGUCGGUCGUGAAAUCCUUCGGCUCAACCGAAGAACGUCGAUCGAUACUGCUGUUCUUGAGGGUUGCAGAGGAGACUGGAAUUCCCGGUGUAGCGGUGAAAUGUGUAGAGAUCGGGAGGAACACCGGUGGCGAAAGCGGCUCUCUGGGACGGUACUGACGCUGAGACGCGAAAGCGUGGGGAGCAAACAGG
rnacentral:rRNA from 1 species